GCCACCCUAGCUCAAUUGGUAGAGCAUCCGACUUGUAAUCGGAAGGUUGUCGGUUCAAUUCCGAUGGGUGGCUCCA
rnacentral:tRNA from 1 species